AGCUGUAAUGGCUCAACGGAAGAAACCAUUCCAAUCCUCCCGCCCACCCCUUCUGUUGGCAACAACUCAACCAUCGGUGCCCGGUUCGAAUCUCGUGGUGGCCACCCACUCGCACAGGUAACUUGCGAAUUGCUGCGUGUGGCCCUAAGACCGCUUGGACACCGCUUCAGCCGAGCAAUCGGGCAGAGCGACUAAGCCCAUGAGGUGGCGAGUCCGGACUACAUUGAUUGUUUGGUGGGGUGUGAGGGAGGAGUUGUGGGAUGGUGACCUUCUUUU
rnacentral:SRP_RNA from 1 species